rnacentral:rRNA from 1 species
UACGUAGGGUGCGAGCGUUGUCCGGAAUUAUUGGGCGUAAAGAGCUUGUAGGCGGUUUGUCGCGUCUGCCGUGAAAAUCCGGGGCUCAACCCCGGACUUGCGGUGGGUACGGGCAGACUAGAGUGUGGUAGGGGAGACUGGAAUUCCUGGUGUAGCGGUGAAAUGCGCAGAUAUCAGGAGGAACACCGAUGGCGAAGGCAGGUCUCUGGGCCACUACUGACGCUGAGGAGCGAAAGCAUGGGGAGCGAACAGG